ensembl:lincRNA
GGAUAACCUAGGUACCCUUCUAUCUUGGUACAUCAUUUUAUAAUGGAGACAGGAUUCAGCAGGAAUGAGUCUCACAGGUCCAGAGGAUCCUGCUAAAGUCUUUCCUCCUCCCCAUCUCAAGACUUGUUUAUAUAGUGUAUAUAUUUUAUAUUACAAAUGAAACUUGAUUUCACUUUUUUGACAAUUUCUCAUUGCCUAGUGGCCAGCUCACUUGUUCCUUUUGGCUGAUUGCAGAAGGGCUAAAAUCCCUCGAGAGAAGGAGAAAAAAAGGGAAAAGGGCAGAGACUCAACCCAGUUUUCUCCAGCUUUAGUCCACUUCAUUUUAGGAGUCUAUGACUCAUCCCUGAAUUCUCCCCACCCGCAAGCACCUUCCAUCAAAUCAUAGCCCCCCAAAUGUAUUGUUGGACAUUUUCUUUAGUAGUACCAUCUUGUUGUGAGAUUACAGGGAAUGCCGAUUUUAUUAGAGUUUUUUCAACAAAAUUGUUUAAUUGUUGGUGCCCCUUGGCAAGUGCUAUGUUAUUCUCAACGCUUCACAGCAUUCUACCAACACCCCAUCCUUCUAACUUUCCUUUUUUCUUUUUUUUUUUUGAAUUCCUCCUUUUGUUUGGUUUAGAACAAGUCUUCCCUUUAUUUCCCCUACAGACUUGUCUUUGGAAAAGACUCAGAAGAGCCCGUUAACUUGGCUUCCUCACUUCUGCUCAUCAUACGCGGGUGAAUGGUUUGAAGAUGCUGGCCUAGCAAGAUGGCAACAGGUUUAAAAAAUAGGAUUCAUAAGAAGUUCCUUUUCUCAGUCGUCUCCAUGUUCCUUUCAGCUGGUCCUAUAGUCCCCCUUCCUCAGGAAUGUCUUCCCAGGGAAACAACACAGACUGCAGAAACCCUGUCCCGAUGGAUGCUAAAGCCAGCUGCGAAGUGGAAACAAAGGACACCAUCACCUGAAGACAUCUCUCCUGCCAGUCGACACACCCACACGCUGCAGUUUCAGCCAGUAGCAUCUCAGAGCAAGAGGCAAGCUUUUCAAGAAACAGAAACCCUUAAGAAAGCUAUCUAGAUUUCGAAUGAGCAAGGACUUUCCCUUCCUCGUGUGUAUUCCUCUGUUUGUAUUUAAAUUCUGUGUGACAUUCAUUUUUAAAAAAAUUUUUUUUUCUAGUAUGACUAUGCUUAUGAAUACACUAAUUUUUAAAAUAGAAAAUUGUUCAUGCCAGAGGUCGAUUGCAUGUUAGCCACACACAGAGUUUGACCUUAAAAGAAUGACUUAAAGAAUAUUGAGUUCUUUUGCAAUCACAGAAUAGUAGGAGGCAAUACAAAGGAUAAAAUGAUGGUGGGAACUCAGAAUGUGUCAUCAAGUACAGUACCCACUGACACCAAACAACCAACCUUUUUAUCAGGCACGCUAGGCUCUGUGAGACAUGGUCACUGCCUCUAAGGAGUUUAAACCUAGUUAAACAGAAGCAUGUAAACUUUUGAAAAGAGAAGUAACAGAUCAAGUCCAUUUAUAAGAGCAAAAUGAAAGACAGAAGCAAGGAGCUCAGAGGAAGUCCGCUUAGGCGGGGCAAACUGGUCUGUCUAGGGAAGAAAGUUCCCAAAGGAAGGAAAUACAAUGUGAAUUUUAAAGGAUGUUAAAGAUUUAGAUAAAUGGGAAGGAAGAGGAAAAUAGAAUCCUUUCUAUAGAUGCAAUAUUGUGAGCAAAGUCAGAGAGGAAGGCAUCCACCUGGUGAUUUAAGGAAAUUAGGAAUGUACCGGUCCAGUUGACUAAAUCCCAGACUUCCACUGCCAAUCUAUAUGUACAUAUAUGGUGAAGACUUUACACGCAUACUUCCCCUUGCCCACCUCAGGUGUAGACCAGAAUUAUAAUCAUAUUUCUUCCAUUAAAAUAAGUGAGCAUGAUUGAUGAUAGUAUGAGGAUCUGUGAUUUUUCUGUUAGCCUAAUAACAGUGGAUAUUUAUUGAAUUCUCCCUACAUGUUAAGCAUUUUAUAUAGUAAUUCUCUUAAGCUUCACAACAACCCUGCAAAACAGAUAUUAUUUUGUAUUUCCAUUUUACAUAAAGAAACCUAAGGUUUAAGUAACUUGCCAAACUGCCACAUACAGGGUUCACAAUCAGGACUGUGAUUUCAAAGCUCAUGAUCUAAGGCAAUAAGCCACAGUGUUGCAACCAACUUUGUAAUUUUGCCACUUCUAUAUUCCUUGAUAUUUUUCUAUGGUAGACACAUAGCUAUUUUCUUUAAUUAUCUUCUCAAAAUUUUCAGUUUUCUGGUUGAACUAGCUUGGUGGAAUGUAUUUUCAUGACAGAAAUGGAAGCUACUGGGGAACAGAGUUUAUCAGCAUUUUAAGCUUUUUUUGGACCAGACUCUGAGGAGACUGUUAGCUUUGGUCAGCAUGAAAUCUCAACUUCUUGAGAACAAAAAUAGGGGGUGGGGAGAGCUUAAAGGUCAUCGGUUGCAAUGUUCUUUCCUACAGAUGUGAUAAACCUGUAAAGAUACAGUGACUUAGAGAAGAUCGCUCAUUUGAGUAUGACAGAAGUAGACCCAGAAACCAUGCCCUCAGAGGCUCUUGAACUACACCACCCUGCCCAAAGGAAGCAUGAGCUUGCAUUUCACCAAUGGAAACAUUCUAUCUGGGUGAUCAAGGAGCGCCAUACCAAGUACAUGGCUUCACUUUUGGCUACCUCUUUGGCUUUUCACUUCAAUGUGAAAAAUAGAUAGUUAUGAACUGACAUCUUUAGUUUCAAAAACUAUCAAUGGUCCAGCCGCAAAGAACACACAGUAGCCCAAGUUAUGUGUACAAUGUCUUCAAUGAUAUUAAGUUACUUGGCAUUCUUCCUUCACCUAAACCAAUCAGAUCUUCUAAUGAGCAUUUUCUUAACCAAUUUUAUGCACAGUAUAUAUUCAUAAGAGUUUCUGCAUGAAUGUUUAAACGUGUCUGUUUUGAUAGUCUUUAUGGUUUUUGAAAAUAUAAAUGGUCAUUUGCUAUUUUAAUUGUCAGUUAUCCAUAUAACUAACCCAAGAAAACUUCAGCCAUAAAAAACUAGAAUUAAGGAAAUCUUCAUCUUCUAUACUAGCCCCUUUGCCUUUAGUUGGCACUUAGUAAUAAUUAAUAAAGUGGUCUACUGAAGAAUACAGAGGUUCAAAACGCAAUUUUGUCUUGAAGGAGUCAGCUAAACUGUGUCUACUUGAGAGCAAGCAUCUGGAUGUUUGGAAGGACCUGAAUAUUUGACUGUUGUAAAUUUCCAUUUAGCUCUCCGGGUUUGUCACACUUAGACGUCCUGGUGGCUCAGGUCAUCCUGUUUUCAAAAUGAUGAUCGUUGGCCAUCUCUCACACAGUGCUCAUUAAGUGAGUUCAUAAAUAAACAGGUUGUUUUCUUUUAUAAGCAUAGCCAAGCACAAAAUGUGACUCUGUUGACAUUUUAUGAGACUUUGUCAUAUGUCCCCUGAACCCCCAAUAAAAGCAAUGUUGCAUCAACUGUGAACUUGUGUUGAUUUCUUGGAAGAGUAUGCUCUCACAAUUGGGGUGUUUUCUCUAGUAUAUAUCAAAGCUAGUUUCAGGCUCUAUGAGGAGCAAAUAAUCUGAUGUGAUGGGAAAUUUUCAAUUUAGAAGCAAUUCCUAAAUGAUCCCACGUUGCCCUUAAUAGACAGCACAGUCUUCUACUCAUAGGUCAGAAACCAAAGUGUGAUCCUUGUCUUUUUCUCUUCGCACCUGCCAUGGCCCAUCAGGUGAAUCUCUGUUUUUUCUGUCUUUCCAUUUUUAAAUGUGUCUCCACCCUCCAACUGUUUAAGACAACCGUCAUAUCACCUGGACUACUGUCUCAUACCUCCAGUUUCUCCCUUUCACGCUGCCAAAUAGUACCCAGGGAAAUCCAUCUAAACCAGAUAUGAUCAUAUCGUUCCACAGUUUCAAACUUUUCACUGGCUUCCCGUUGCCCUUUAACUAUCGUUACAUCUAAGCCCUUCCUAGCCCGGUUCCUGACCCCAGCCUUCUUCUCUGGACUCCCCAAGCCCCACUGCUUUUGUAGGCCCUUGCCAUAUGUCUUUGCCAUUUCUUAAUGUCCUCAUUCUCUUCUGGGGUUUCUCACACACCUGCACCUUCUGCUUGGUACUCCAUCACCCCUUCCAGACUCCAUCUCUGGUCCUUCAGGUCUCAUCCUAGAAAUCGCUUCCUCUUGGAAGUCUUCACCUCGACCCUAAGACUAGCUUAUUCACCUAGGUGCUUUCAUAGCAUUCUGUUCCUACCAUAUAUUAAUGCUUAUCAUCCAGGUUAUGAGAACUUAGGUAGCAAUCUCCUCAAUUUGAAUGUGAUAUUCUAGAGCUGCCUUGUCCUGUAAGGUAACCACUUGCCAUAUAUAGCUACAUUAAUUUAAAUUAAGUAAAAUUUAAAAUUCAGUUUCUCAGGUGCACUGGCUAAAUCUCAAGUGCUCAGGUUCCACCUGUGUCUAGUGGCCACCGUGUUGACCAGCACAGAUACAGCACAGUUCCAUCCUUGAGAAAGUUGUAUUGGGCAGGGGUGCAUGUCUGCUCAGUCAUGUCCAACUCUGCGACCCCACGGACUAGCCCACCAGGCUUCUUGGCCCAUGUUACUUUCCAGGCAAGAAAUACUGGAGUGGGUUGCCAUUUCCUACUGCAAGGGAUCUUCCCAACCCAAGAAUCAAACGCCAGUCUCUUGCGUCUCCUGCAUUGGCAGGUGGAUUCUCUACCGCUGCACUGCCUGGGAAGCUUAUAUUGGAGAAUACUGUUCUAAAAGACAGG